rnacentral:lncRNA from 1 species
AAAAAGAAAGAACAAGAGAGAUGUGAAAUUAGAGAAGAAAAGUGCAGUAAAAACGUAAUUGAAAGAGAAAAUAAUAACAUAAAAAUGAGAAGAUGAAAAAGAAAUAACACAAGAGAGAAGAGACUAUUUUAGAAGAGGUGAGACAUACAUGACAAAGAAAUUGAGAAGAAUGCGUGAUACUAUUAGGAGAGAUUUGAGAAGGUUGAAACUGAAACCCUAAGUGUGAGUAAGAGAAUACUUGUAAGGUUAAAGCAUAAUAGGUUUGAGUUUUUG